GCCCGUAUGGCUUAGAGGUGUAGCGUUUGUUUCGUAAACAAAAGGUGGCGAGUUCGAUUCUCGUUACGGGCA
rnacentral:tRNA from 1 species